rnacentral:rRNA from 1 species
UCCGUAGGCGGAUCGAUAAGUCAGAGGUGAAAUCCCACAGCUUAACUGUGGAACUGCCUUUGAUACUGUUGGUCUUGAGUUAUAUGGAAGUAGAUAGAAUGUGUAGUGUAGCGGUGAAAUGCAUAGAGAUUACACAGAAUACCGAUUGCGAAGGCAGUCUACUACGUAUAUACUGACGCUAAUGGACGAAAGCGUGGGGCGCGAACAGGAUUAGAUACCCUGGUAGUC